GUUAAGUCAGGCAACGAGCGAGACCCACGCCCACAGUUGCCAGCGUACUCUCCGGAGUGACGGGUACACUGGUGGGGACCGCCGCUGCUAAAGCGGAGGAAGGAAUGGGCAACGGUAGGUCAGUAUGCCCCGAAUAUCCCGGGCUACACGCGAGCUACAAUGGUUGGUACAAUGGGUAUCUACCCCGAAAGGGGACGGGAAUCUCCUAAACCAAUCUUAGUUCGGAUUGAGGGCUGCAACUCGCCCUCAUGAAGCUGGAAUCCGUAGUAAUCGCGUUUCAACAGAACGCGGUGAAUACGUCCCUGCUCCUU
rnacentral:rRNA from 1 species